rnacentral:rRNA from 1 species
GAUGAACGCUGGCGGCGUGCUUAACACAUGCAAGUCGAACGGAAAGGCUCCUGCUUGCAGGGGUACUCGAGUGGCGAACGGGUGAGUAACACGUGGGUGAUCUGCCCUGCACUUCGGGAUAAGCCUGGGAAACUGGGUCUAAUACCGGAUAGGACGAUGGUUUGGAUGCCAUUGUGGAAAGUUUUUUCGGUGUGGGAUGAGCUCGCGGCCUAUCAGCUUGUUGGUGGGGUAAUGGCCUACCAAGGCGUCGACGGGUAGCCGGCCUGAGAGGGUGUACGGCCACAUUGGGACUGAGAUACGGCCCAGACUCCUACGGGAGGCAGCAGUGGGGAAUAUUGCACAAUGGGCGCAAGCCUGAUGCAGCGACGCCGCGUGGGGGAUGACGGCCUUCGGGUUGUAAACUCCUUUCGCUAGGGACGAAGCGCAAGUGACGGUACCUGGAGAAGAGGCACCGGCUAACUACGUG